CCACACAGCUCCACCCACUCAGUUGUCGGCAUAUAAAGCUGGACAGAAUCGUAGCCAGCUGAGAAAUGUUGGCUGCUCACUGCGCCCUGUUGGGGAACUUGGAGGCAGCAUCAAGGUCAGAGCAGUGGGCAGCAGAGUGAUGCCAUAGCAGCCUUCUUGGCUGUAGUCAUGUAUCAGCUGCUUUCACAGUACCCAGUGUCCAAACUAAGAAACAACAUGCUAGUCUCUAGAAGAUCCAGAAAGUCAGAGAAGACAGGCAGAGUCAGCUCAUGCCUGAGCCUGCUGGGUCAGGAUGACAGCGGAUUCGGAUGGAUUAUGUGUUCGACAACUGACGGGACAAAUAACCUUUCAAAGAGCAGAGCGGAGUUGGGUUGCAUCAGAAAUAGCACUCCCACCUGCUGAGGAUCACUGAAAAAAAACCGAUGACAGAACAUUUGUUGUCCCCCGCGUCUUCCUCCUUUUAUUGCCUUUCAUUGCUCACUGAGGUAUUGUCUCUUUAGCUUCUGUUCUCCCUCCGUUAUAUCAGACAACAUCAAAUGGUGUUUGACACCGUAGCACUAAUAUAUCUGGAAGUUUGAUGUUGCAUAUCAAAUAUCUGUGAAAAUAACGUGUAUAACUAGGGGAAUUCAUAAAAAAGGUUCAGAGGCAUGGAAACGUCAGGUUUAUUUCUGUUGUCAAAUCUUACUUUCACCUCUACAUGAUAUUUUUCAUAGGGUAGUGACAUCAGGAAAUGUAUAGUGAAGAUCCCAGAUUAACCUGAGGCAGGUGUGGGACAUUUUUAUUUCAGUAUUUUUAUCUCCAAUAUUCUAUCCAUCUUGCCAAAUGUGUGACAAUAACACAUUUUUCUUUUUUUUGGGGGGGGGGGGCGAUUGAUUUAAUUACAUAUUAACAAUUACAUAUAGCCUACAUAACUGAUAUGAGUGUGACCACAUUACUCGUAGAUAUAAUUUACAGUAUGGACAUUUAUUUUGAAAUAUUUUUUAAGAGUCUGGAUGAACGUAUGCAUGUAUGUGCUGUAUGUGUGCGUGGUCAUUGGCGGACCAAAAUAGGCCUUUAAAAAAAUACAUGUACGAAUCCAUUAGAGCAUGUCUGAUGUAGUUUAGCUAUAUGAAUCCAAUUGAUUGAUGGAUGACAGAUUAAACAGAACAUAAAGGUCAGAACUUGAGAUAUAAGAAAGACAAACAAAGUUUUAUCAUACUAUUACUAUACCUGACAAAGCUGCUGAUUCAUCUUCACACUGGUGUCUAAUCUCCGAGAAGCCCUUACAACUCACUCAGAGCUAAGUUUUAGCCUAGACUCGUCACCGCUUCAUUUGACUCUUAUUAAGAUGUCCUUGUAACUAAAGCCAGGUUAACCAAAAACAUCUUAGCACUUGGACCAGCUUUAUUCCAGGAUAAGCAAGUGGAAAGAACCGAAACUUGAUGCUUGGGGGUUAAAGUGAUUAGCAAGAAGUGUCACAGCUCAGGUCAAGAUUAGCAUGCGUGCUCGGAUAACUUCAUGAAGUCAGGCCAAGACAUUGUUGAACGCAAAUGAUAACACAAAAACACACGUGUAACAGGAUAAACAAGGCAGCUGAGGCAAAGAGGUCUCGCUAAUGUUUAGCUAGCAGGUUUACAAUGUUCGCUUUAUUAGUUCAACCUGUUAGCUAUUUCCUAAUUAGCACUUCACUCAAAGUACAGCUCAGCAAUGUCUUAAGAAAUGCGUGAGAACACUUGAGCCAUGUGUAAAAGUGUGCCUGACAAUAUAAAAUAGGAAGAUGAACUUUGUGUUUGCGCAAUAUGUUAGCGUUGUUCGUGACUAUCAAGUGUCGCCAAAAGUUGACAGUCUGCUCUGUUGAGCAUGAUUAAAGAGAGUUCACUAGACUCUCGCCAACGGUACCAUUUCAUCAUUGCAUUCAUAGCUUUAGGGUCACAUAGGGCCAUCAAGGCUAAUGUUGCAAGUGUUUGCUAACUGCUAAAUAUAUUAUUGUUAGCAUUGUUAGGAUGUGGCAAUCUGAAUUCUUUUCAGAUUGCCACAUCCUCUUCUGUCGUUCAAAUCAAUUGAGGAUGAAGUCAAU